rnacentral:lncRNA from 1 species
UAGGUUGGGGAGAGUAGAAAUGAAGAGCGUCACGAAGGCUCUAAUCAUCGUCACCAGUGACGAGAUCCGGCGCGGCUAGAGUCGUUGUCACGACCUGAUCUUCAUCUUAGUGAAGAUGUUUAACGCGAAGCCUGGGGAUGCUGUUUGCUUUGGCCUUUUUGUUUUCUUUUUUCUUUUUUCAAUUUUAUCCUUGGGCCUUCAUCAGGCCCAAACGGAACAAAAUUCGCCUUGCACCCUUCACUGGCCAACACACCCUGCUUGGGUUUAGGAUGGAUUAGGC